UGAAAUGUAUAGGACAAUCCAAUAAUUAUUAAACUAAAUAGGGUUAUAAAAUUUAAAGGGUCAAUCUGAUAAAUCUUAUCAUUCAGUGUGUGAUAGAAGUUAACGAUAAAUCCAUUACGAAAUAUAGACAAAUCCAAUGAAUAUCAAAAGCUGUUAUACCUAGGAAAACAUAUAUAAAAUUCUAAUACAUUUCAUCAUUCUGAAGUUAGUACACAUGCUGGCGUGCCUGAGUCGUGAUCCGUAUCAAUCUCUGUUAAUUUGUUUGGGAAACAUAAUCCCAGAAGAACGAUUGUUUGUGUUUUAGCCAGUAGUAAUUUUUCGCCGGAGGAUUUUACCAGUUGAGUGGCAGCAAAAAUAACUUAAAUUUCAUCGCUGUGAUAUAAGCCAAUCAUUUAUAAGCGUAAAACACGGGUCUUAAAAUGAGGGACAGCAGCGAAGGAAAACAGAUCCGGACUUCAGCGAGAACGUGCACGGUUCCAUUCUUCGCCAUGCAUAGGAAACUCCAAUCCACCAGAACAACAGCACCCAAUCCGCUGAAUCUGGAUUCAUGUACCAGCCAGGAUCAACAUGCAUCAGGCAUGAAACUGUGUCCCACCAUCCAUGAAAAGUGUUUGAAGUGCAGUGCAG